rnacentral:rRNA from 1 species
GAUGAACGCUGGCGGCGUGCCUAAUACAUGCGAGUCGAGCGAACGGACGAGAAGCUUGCUUCUCUGAUGUUAGCGGCGGACGGGUGAGUAACACGUGGAUAACCUACCUAUAAGACUGGGAUAACUUCGGGAAACCGUAGCUAAUACCGGAUAAUAUUUUGAACCGCAUGGUUCAAAAGUGAAAGACGGUCUUGCUGUCACUUAUAGAUGGAUCCGCGCUGCAUUAGCUAGUUGGUAAGGUAACGGCUUACCAAGGCAACGAUGCAUAGCCGACCUGAGAGGGUGAUCGGCCACACUGGAACUGAGACACGGUCCAGACUCCUACGGGAGGCAGCAGUAGGGAAUCCUCCGCAAUGGGCGAAAGCCUGACGAAGCAACGCCGCGUGAGUGAUGAAGGUCUUCGGAUCGUAAAACUCUGUUAUUUGGGAAGAACAUAUGUGUAAGUAACUGUGCACAUCUUGACGGUACCUAAUCAGAAAGCCACGGCUAACUACGUG